UGAUUUCUCUCCCCUUUUUAGAUUUAUUUCUGUGUAUGCCAACUUCUUAGUUUUACUUAUAUUCCAGUGAGCUAUGUUCUAUACUGGUGUGGUUAUGCUUGUAAUGUUUUUUUUCUGCUUCUUGUGUGCUGAUGUUUGCAAUGGUAGUUGGUUUCUGUACUCUGCAAGCCUCAUGAUGCUAAUUGAAAUAUCCUUUAUCAUGUUGCAGAUGCUUAGCAAAUGCUUUCGCUGCUACCUGUUCUUAAUCAGCUGCUACUUUUUCUUGAUCAUCCAAUUUCUUACUCCUUUCAUUUAUGUAGGAAUGGCAUGUAGGUAGUUAUCCCCCAUGGGCACAUAGACCAGGAUACAUUGUAUCUCAGGAUAUAGGAAACACAAAAGAGGUGAGCUAAGGUACGCGCCCUUCUAAAAUUUCUAGAAGGGUGCCCCUUUUCCUGUCUCAGUGGUAAUGAAUUCUCUUCAGUUGCUUUGGUAUGAAAUGAUUUUGAAGGCAGCUUAGAGAAUAUAAUGUUCUGUAGUUGGUGCGGAAUAUUUAUGGGGUAUUUUGACUUGCAGAUGUUCAAGCUGG
rnacentral:lncRNA from 1 species